rnacentral:rRNA from 1 species
UUGGGUUUCAUAGAGGAAGUAAAAGUCGUAACAAGGUCUCCGUAGGUGAACCUGCGGAGGGAUCAUUA